rnacentral:rRNA from 1 species
UGGGGAAUAUUGGACAAUGGGCGCAAGCCUGAUCCAGCCAUACCGCGUGGGUGAAGAAGGCCUUCGGGUUGUAAAGCCCUUUUGUUGGGAAAGAAAUCCUAUCGGUUAAUAACCGGUGGGGAUGACGGUACCCAAAGAAUAAGCACCGGCUAACUUCGUGCCAGCAGCCGCGGUAAUACGAAGGGUGCAAGCGUUACUCGGAAUUACUGGGCGUAAAGCGUGCGUAGGUGGUGGUUUAAGUCUGCUGUGAAAGCCCUGGGCUCAACCUGGGAAUUGCAGUGGAUACUGGAUCACUAGAGUGUGGUAGAGGGAUGCGGAAUUUCUGGUGUAGCAGUGAAAUGCGUAGAGAUCAGAAGGAACAUCCGUGGCGAAGGCGGCAUCCUGGGCCAACACUGACACUGAGGCACGAAAGCGUGGGGAGCAAACAGG